rnacentral:lncRNA from 1 species
CAAAAAUGCAUUUCCUCUACAAUCCUAAGUAAAGUCCAUGGGGCUUUGUCUCUGAAAAUGAUAGUGGAUCUGCUUGGAUUCUUUGGUGAUGGAAUGUCAUUGAUCCAGACGGUGCCCUGCAGAUAUGGCCAGCAGUUGAUGAAGUCCUUACAGCCUCACUGGCACAUCUACUCACUCCUACAACACAAGUUACAGCACAGAUUAUCCUUUUCAAUUCCCGCCUUCCAAAGUCCGGUUUUGCCCUUGGAUCAGCUAGACCACUGGCCUCAAGGAAAAUCUUUCCUUAGAAGUCCCUGUCGAUGGUUCCAAGACUGUGCCUUGUGACACCUGAAAAUCAUGCUUUGGUCUCAGUGCCUCCCACCUGACUUUCUCACAAAUGAGAAACCCAAAUCAAAGAGAAAUCACACUGCAUAUUCAAAAAAGGUCUGAGCCUUCUCUCAUUUCCUGGAGCCAGGACUCAUUCAGUUUACUGAUAUUCUAAAUGGUCCUUUUCUGCUUCACAGGCAUUUUGGUUAAAUAUUGCUCUUUAUGGGCCCUACCCCUGUCCUCACAGUUCUACCAUUCCUCCUCAUGGGAGUUCAUACAAAGUCCCCUGUUCACAAUGUUAUUCCGAUCCCUUCCAUUUUUAAAACAUUUGAUUUAAACAUAAAUAAUUACCCUGGCGGAAAGGUAGAGAUUUGGCCCAUGGCCUAUGGUCAUUAGAAAACUAAGGCCCAGAGCUCAAUCUUUAUUUUUUUAAGAGAUUUUAUACUCAGUAACCACCACCUUCACCAUCACCCCCAACCCCAAACAAAGAAUCUUGAGCAGAAUCACUGUGGCUGCUUUUCUAUGAUUGCAAGAAUUUUAAAAUGCAGUUUUCUUCUGUUCUGAGUGAACCCUAUGUAAACGGAGUGUUAGAGCUAGAAAGGACCAUAGAUGAGGCAGUUAAAGCCUAGAGAGGUUAAGUAAUUUGCUCAAGGUCACAGAGCUAGUUUAGUCUCAGAGUUAGGGUCACAACCCACAACCAUUCCCUUUACAGUAGCCUGGCCCAUUGGGAAUCGAUGCAUACCUAGCCAACUUUUGGUUGCCUAUAGGCU